rnacentral:rRNA from 1 species
UACGGAGGGUGCAAGCGUUGCUCGGAAUUAUUGGGCGUAAAGGGUAGGUAGGUGGUCUCAUUUGUCUAGGGUGAAAGCCUUGAGCUUAACUCAAGAAGUGCCCUAGAAACGGUGAGACUGGAGUCCUGGAGAGGGUCGUGGAAUUCCCGGUGUAGCGGUGAAAUGCGUAGAGAUCGGGAGGAACACCAGAGGCGAAGGCGGCGACCUGGACAGGUACUGACACUCAACUACGAAAGCGUGGGGAGCAAACAGG